CGGACGGGUGAGUAACGCGUGGGAACAUGCCUAUUAGUUGGGGACAACCUGUGGAAACGCAGGCUAAUACCGAAUACGUUCUUUGGAAUAAAGGUGGCCUCUCCUUGGAAGCUAUCGCUGAUAGAUUGGCCCGCGUUGGAUUAGCUAGUUGGUGGGGUAAAGGCCUACCAAGGCGACGAUCCAUAGCUGGUUUGAGAGGAUGAUCAGCCACACUGGGACUGAGACACGGCCCAG
rnacentral:rRNA from 1 species